GCGGGUGUGGCGGAAUUGGCAGACGCGCCAGAUUUAGGUUCUGGUGGGAGACUGUGCAGGUUCGAGUCCUGUCACCCGCACCA
rnacentral:tRNA from 1 species